GUUGUAUGGUUAAGUGACUAAGCGUACACGGUGGAUGCCUUGGCAGUCAGAGGCGAUGAAAGACGUAGUAACUUGCGAUAAGCCCAGAUUAGGUAGUAACAACCAUUUGAGUCUGGGAUUUCUGAAUGGGGAAACCCACGUGCAUAAGCACGUAUCCUUACCUGAAUACAUAGGGUAAGGAGGCGAACCGGGGGAACUGAAACAUCUAAGUACCCCGAGGAAAAGAAAUCAACCGAGAUUCCGAAAGUAGCGGCGAGCGAAAUUGGACUAGCCCUUAAGCUUUACACGCGUUAGACGAACGGUCUGGAAAGUCCGACGAUACAGGGUGAUAGUCCCGUAGUUGACGACGUGUGUUCAGUGAAAUCGAGUAGGGCGGGACACGUGAUAUCCUGUCUGAAUAUGGGGGGACCAUCCUCCAAGGCUAAAUACUACUGACUGACCGAUAGUGAACCAGUACCGUGAGGGAAAGGCGAAAAGAACCCCUGUGAGGGGAGUGAAAUAGAACCUGAAACCGUGUACGUACAAGCAGUAGGAGCAGGCUUUGUCCUGUGACUGCGUACCUUUUGUAUAAUGGGUCAGCGACUUAUAUUCAGUGGCAAGGUUAACCAUCUAGGGGAGCCGUAGGGAAACCGAGUCUUAACUGGGCGUUCAGUCUCUGGAUAUAGACCCGAAACCAGGUGAUCUAGCCAUGGGCAGGUUGAAGGUUGAGUAACAUCAACUGGAGGACCGAACCGACUAAUGUUGAAAAAUUAGCGGAUGACUUGUGGCUAGGGGUGAAAGGCCAAUCAAACCUGGAGAUAGCUGGUUCUCCCCGAAAGCUAUUUAGGUAGCGCCUCGGACGAAUACUACUGGGGGUAGAGCACUGUUAAGGCUAGGGGGUCAUCCCGACUUACCAACCCUUUGCAAACUCCGAAUACCAGUAAGUACUAUCCGGGAGACACACGGCGGGUGCUAACGUCCGUCGUGGAGAGGGAAACAACCCAGACCGCCAGCUAAGGUCCCAAAUUACUACUAAGUGGGAAACGAUGUGGGAAGGCUCAGACAGCCAGGAUGUUGGCUUAGAAGCAGCCAUCAUUUAAAGAAAGCGUAAUAGCUCACUGGUCGAGUCGGCCUGCGCGGAAGAUGUAACGGGGCUAAGUAGUAAACCGAAGCUGCGGCAAUAUACUUUUGUAUAUUGGGUAGGGGAGCGUUCUGUAAGCGGUUGAAGGUGUGUGGUAACGCAUGCUGGACGUAUCAGAAGUGCGAAUGCUGACAUGAGUAACGAUAAAGGGGGUGAAAAACCUCCUCGCCGGAAGACCAAGGGUUCCUGUCCAACGUUAAUCGGGGCAGGGUAAGUCGACCCCUAAGGCGAGGCCGAAAGGCGUAGUCGAUGGGAAACGGGUUAAUAUUCCCGUACUUCUUACAAUUGCGAUGGGGGGACGGAGAAGGCUAGGUGGGCCUGGCGACGGUUGUCCAGGUUCAAGUGCGUAGGCUUAAGAGUUAGGUAAAUCCGGUUUCUCUUAAGGCUGAGACACGACGUCGAGCACCUACGGGUGUGAAGUCAUUGAUGCCAUGCUUCCAGGAAAAGCCUCUAAGCUUCAGAUUGUAAGGAAUCGUACCCCAAACCGACACAGGUGGUCGGGUAGAGAAUACCAAGGCGCUUGAGAGAACUCGGGUGAAGGAACUAGGCAAAAUGGUACCGUAACUUCGGGAGAAGGUACGCUCUCGACGGUGAAGUCCCUUGCGGAUGGAGCUAUUGAGAGUCGCAGAUACCAGGUGGCUGCAACUGUUUAUUAAAAACACAGCACUGUGCAAAAUCGUAAGAUGACGUAUACGGUGUGACGCCUGCCCGGUGCCGGAAGGUUAAUUGAUGGGGUUAGACUUCGGUCGAAGCUCUUGAUCGAAGCCCCGGUAAACGGCGGCCGUAACUAUAACGGUCCUAAGGUAGCGAAAUUCCUUGUCGGGUAAGUUCCGACCUGCACGAAUGGCGUAAUGAUGGCCACGCUGUCUCCACCCGAGACUCAGUGAAAUUGAAAUCGCUGUGAAGAUGCAGUGUACCCGCGGCUAGACGGAAAGACCCCGUGAACCUUUACUACAGCUUGGCACUGAACAUUGACCCUACAUGUGUAGGAUAGGUGGGAGGCUUUGAAGCACGUACGCCAGUAUGUGUGGAGCCGUCCUUGAAAUACCACCCUUGUAGUGUUGAUGUUCUAACGUCGACCCCUUAUCGGGGUUGCGGACAGUGCCUGGUGGGUAGUUUGACUGGGGCGGUCUCCUCCCAAAGAGUAACGGAGGAGCACGAAGGUGGGCUAAUCACGGUUGGACAUCGUGAGGUUAGUGCAAUGGCAUAAGCCCGCUUGACUGCGAGAAUGACAAUUCGAGCAGGUGCGAAAGCAGGUCAUAGUGAUCCGGUGGUUCUGAAUGGAAGGGCCAUCGCUCAACGGAUAAAAGGUACUCCGGGGAUAACAGGCUGAUACCGCCCAAGAGUUCAUAUCGACGGCGGUGUUUGGCACCUCGAUGUCGGCUCAUCACAUCCUGGGGCUGAAGUCGGUCCCAAGGGUAUGGCUGUUCGCCAUUUAAAGUGGUACGCGAGCUGGGUUUAGAACGUCGUGAGACAGUUCGGUCCCUAUCUGCCGUGGGCGUUGGAAGAUUGAAGGGGGCUGCUCCUAGUACGAGAGGACCGGAGUGGACGAACCUCUGGUGUUCGGGUUGUGUCGCCAGACGCAUUGCCCGGUAGCUAAGUUCGGAAUCGAUAACCGCUGAAAGCAUCUAAGCGGGAAGCGAGCCCUGAGAUGAGUCUUCCCUGAUACUUUAAGUAUCCUAAAGGGUUGUCGGAGACUACGACGUUGAUAGGUCAGGUGUGUAAGUGCUGUGAGGCAUUGAGCUAACUGAUACUAAUUGCCCGUGAGGCUUAACCAUACAACACCCAAGGGGUUU
rnacentral:rRNA from 1 species